rnacentral:rRNA from 1 species
AUGGUUCAGAUAGUGCAGAGGAGUAGCAGCAAUAGCAGCAUGGGCAGGAUCAAAGGAGAAGCAGCACGGGCAGGGUCAGAGGAGGAGCAGCAGCACGGGCGGGGGAGAAGGAGCAGCAGCAGCAGCACGGGCAGAUCUCCACCGGCGAGCUCCUGGUCCACUGGAUUGUGGAGGCAAGCUCCGGCGACGCCAGUAGGGGAUCGCGGCGGCGCACACGCGGGAGCUCCAGGAGGAUGCGCGGGAGCACGAGGGUGGACGCACACGAGCUUGAGGAGGAUGCCCGUGGGCUCCAGGAGGGAAGCGUGUGGCCUCGAGGAAGACGUGGCAGGAGAUUCCGGCGAAGCCCGCAGGCAGUGGGAGGAGACCACGGUGGCGCAGGUCUGGGCUGCGGCGGCAGAGGAGGUAAUUGGCGAAGGCGGCGAGAGCAGGUACUUGGCUAUGGAGGAGGAGCUCAGCUGGGCUCGCCGGCCCCUGGCGAAUCACGCAGCUGGGCGGCGCCGGCCCCUAGAGAUGGGCAGGCGACGGGCAGAGGAAGAAGACAGGGCGGAGGGACUUGUUUGA